rnacentral:rRNA from 1 species
UUGAACGCUGGCGGCAGGCCUAACACCUGCAAGUCGAGCGGAUGAAGGGAGCUUGCUCCUGGAUUCAGCGGCGGACGGGUGAGUAAUGCCUAGGAAUCUGCCUGGUAGUGGGGGAUAACGUCCGGAAACGGGCGCUAAUACCGCAUACGUCCUGAGGGAGAAAGUGGGGGAUCUUCGGACCUCACGCUAUCAGAUGAGCCUAGGUCGGAUUAGCUAGUUGGUGGGGUAAAGGCCUACCAAGGCGACGAUCCGUAACUGGUCUGAGAGGAUGAUCAGUCACACUGGAACUGAGACACGGUCCAGACUCCUACGGGAGGCAGCAGUGGGGAAUAUUGGACAAUGGGCGAAAGCCUGAUCCAGCCAUGCCGCGUGUGUGAAGAAGGUCCUCGGAUUGUAAAGCACUUUAAGUUGGGAGGAAGGGCAGUAAGUUAAUACCUUGCUGUUUUGACGUUACCAACAGAAUAAGCACCGGCUAACUUCGUG